GCAGUCGAGCGAGAAAGGGUCCUUCGGGGCCUGAGUAGAGCGGCAGACGGGUGCGNAACACGUGGGUAACCUGCCCUCCGGCGGGGGAUAACCACCCGAAAGGGUGGCUAAUACCGCAUGAGACCCCGACUUUUCGGAGUUGAGGUUAAAGGCUUCGGCCACCGGAGGAGGGGCCCGCGUCCGAUUAGCUAGUUGGUGGGGUAAGGGCCUACCAAGGCGACGAUCGGUAGCUGGUCUGAGAGGAUGAUCAGCCACACUGGUACUGAGACACGGACCAGACUCCUACGGGAGGCAGCAGUGGGGAAUAUUGCGCAAUGGGGGAAACCCUGACGCAGCAACGCCGCGUGGGUGAUGAAGGCCUUCGGGUCGUAAAGCCCUGUCAGGUGGGAAGAACCAGGUCCUUCGGGACCCCUGACGGUACCACCAAAGGAAGCACCGGCUAACUCCGUGCCAGCAGCCGCGGUAAUACGGAGGGUGCAAGCGUUGUUCGGAAUUACUGGGCGUAAAGGGCGCGUAGGCGGCCAGGACAGUCCGGUGUGAAAGCCCGGGGCUCAACCCCGGAAGUGCAUUGGAAACUGCCUGGCUUGAGUUCGGAAGAGGAGGGCAGAAUUCCCGGUGUAGGGGUGAAAUCCGUAGAGAUCGGGAGGAAAACCAGUGGCGAAGGCGGCCCUCUGGGACGAAACUGACGCUGAGGCGCGAAAGCGUGGGGAGCAAACAGGAUUAGAGACCCUGGUAGUCCACGCCGUAA
rnacentral:rRNA from 1 species